rnacentral:lncRNA from 1 species
UGACACCAUGGAUUUGUUAAAACUCAUAGAACUUUAAAGCACAAAAGGUGAAACUUAAUACAUAAAAAUUAAAAAAAUAUAUAUAUGAGGUUGAGGACCCCAUAUAGAAAAAGAAUGUGAAAAGAAAACAAAUUAACUGUAUCAUGAAUGUAUAAAACCACCUCACAGAGGAAGGUGGGGGAAAGAUGAUGACCUAAGGAAAUUUGGAAGUUAAUAAAGGUGCUUCAUGACAGUACAGUUUAAUAAUUCUCAAACUAUGGUGUAUGUAUAGUGGAAAUGAAAUUUAGUUUAAGGUAAAUGGGAACUUUCUAUAGGAUCUUCACAAUUUUUUUAUAAAUCUACAGCUGUUGUAAAAAUAAGUUAAUUAACAACAUCAUGCAUAUACUUUGUUAUGUGCUAUUCUAGACUACAAAGAAGAAACUAGGUGUUUAUAAUCUAAUGAAAAAGAUAGGGUAGAGCAGUGAGGUUUACUUAACACCUAACUUUAUUUCUUAUAGAUGCUAUAUUAUUUAAUCCACUAUGUUAUUUUCUCCAUUUCACAGAUGAUUAAAAUGUGUCUUAAGUAAAUUAUAUAAUUUUCCAAAGGCCAAAUUGCCAGGACUGAGACUGAAAAUCUACAUGACCCAAAGCUCAUACCUCUUACAUUAUGAAGCAUUCCUUUCAUCUGAAUAAAUAGGAUAUGUGUUCAGAUUAUGGAAUUCAAAACAGCUGUUAUCAAGAGCCACGAGUGUACCCAAAACACAGUGCUGGUUCAAGGAGGGCAAGACAUACUGGACUUAACGGUAGAAGGAGUUUUUGAGUUGCAUAUUAAGAAGCAAGUAAGAUUUUGAAGGGAAAAUAAUUUAAUGAGGCAGAAACAGAUGGAACAGAAGCCCCAUGAGAUGGGGUCUGGGAAUGAGAGCUGGUCUAGUUUGCACAGAAAGCAGUGUUUGUCUAUGUGAGUACUAGGACAAAAUCAAUGAAAGAAAAUUUCUUUCCCUUCAUUGUCUUUAUUUCCCCAAAUCCAGAUGGAGCCUCAGCAAAACACUGUAACAUGGAGAUCCCUUAAUCCCUGCAUGAACAUAGUAGCCACGUCCUUUAUGAAGGACCUAGUAGAAGUGUUAGGUAUACACACACAAAAGCUUAUACACACUGAGUUUCUACCCAUUAGGAGAAAAGUGAAAGUGGCUGUUGAUUAAACCUCAUUAUUGUCAGGCUUAUACCAAGUCCUUUUAAAUUCAUCUGGAAGGUACCUACUCUUAACUAGACACUAUUCUAGGCAAUGAGAAUCAACCAUAUAGGCUCUUCUCUUUCUCAUGGUAACAUGAUUAUGCAUUUAUAUGUCUACCUUUCCUGCUGGAUUAUGAAUUCCCAGCAUGCAAAAGAUCACUGAGGAAGACUGCUUCCUUCUUUGACUUUAAAAUACUACCUCCUUCUCUCAUUUACUGAAAUAAUCAGGCUGAAUGUCAUUAUUUCAUAGAGAAGUAAAACGAUUUUCUAUCUGCCUUAAAAUAAAAUCUUUUAGUCUUGGACUAAUUAUUAUUACAGACAUAUUAUUCCUGAGGGUUAAGUUUCCUUGGCCUAAGAAUGUAGAAAAAGUUGGGUUUAAAGAUGAUCUGGGAAGAGUAAAAGAGAGUAUGUAUUAGCUUUGAAUUUCAUUCUCUUGAAAACUAUAGACAAUCUGUAUAAUUUUUCAUUUUCUGACCAAAACCUAUGACCCACCAACCAUAUGUCAGGCACUAUGCCCCAUGCUGUUGCCUCAUUAAUAGAAAGGUACUUGAUCUGCCCUCAGUAAGCAUGUAAUCCAGUGGAGAAACAGACGCAUACAACAGACACAAUAAAUAUGUGAAUGUCAUUAACUUUCGAUUGAACAUCUACUAGGUGCCAAGAUCUAGCCUAGGCAGUGGAAAUAUGUUGCUGAACAAAACUGACUCGAUAUUUCCUUAUGGAGGGCAUAGUCUAGAUGGGAAGGUAGCUACAAAACAAGUUAAUUAGGUCCUACUAAACAUAAUGAUAGACUGUACAUCAGUUUCACAGCUUCACCACUAUUGACAGUCUCAAAUGAAUAAUUCUUUGUAUAUUACAGGAGGUCUCUACUCCCACUAGAUGCCAGUUGUACUCCUCUCUCCCAAUCUCCUGCAGCUGUGCAAUCAAAUAUGGUUCCAAAAUUGCCAAAUGGUCCUGGGAGGAAUAUUGUCCUAGCUUGAGGACCAUAGUGCUAUAGUAUAAAAUGCUGAGAUAUCAUAUAACCAAGAGAUUUAACCUAGCCCCAGGGCCAGGUUUCCUGAGGAAGGGAAAUUUGGUCUGAAAGCAGAAUGUGAGAGAUCUCAUUAAGAAAGGGAGGAGUGAGAGGGCCUGAUAGUGAUAGAUAGCAUUGUAACUUGGCUAUCAGCAAGACCUUCUAUAACCUCUGCACUCUAAAUAAAGUGAGACUGAAACCUUCCCCCAGUAUCUCCUUCCUCUGCAUCUGAGCUUCUCUUUCUACAUACAUUGUCUCUAGUUUAUACUGAAUUGUCUCUGUUGUGAAAAUCAAUCCUUUCUUGUUUGUUCCUGAACUUCUUACACCCCCCCCCCCACAGGAUAGCGUAUAGCAAACUUCUUGAAGAUGUAAGGAGGCGGCAAAGGAGAGGUUCAAGAAAUGCUAACUUCAAAUUGAACAUUUAGUGGAUCUAUUCUUCAAUGUCUUUCAGCCUCCCCCACAAAAGUGCAAGUCUACUGGUUCAUCACCCAUAAAGUCCCUAAUGCCAUGUUGGCUCCUUUUGCUGCAGGAUGCAAUUUCACAAAAAAAAAAAAAAAAAAAAAAAAUCAAUCUCUCAGCAGAGAUGCUUUAUGUGCUCUUUGUUGCUUGGGUUCCUAUUGACAUCUAGACACUCAAUGUUGCUCCUUCUACUGAGGGCAGCUUCCUAAUUUUUUUUUUCCAAAGUAAGGAUCAUGUGCAAAAACAAACAAUCAUGCCAACUUUUAAGAUAAAGACUUCAUCUUAUGUUGUGGUUGGGUCAUUUGAAAACUACAAAGAAAGGUCACAUGAAGGAAACUGCCCACAGUUUGUAAUACAAAGUGAAAGGCUUCACAGGAUCUUGCCGAAGAAGCAAUAAUUUGUUAGGACUACGAAGAUGGAGAAGCAAACAGGCUAAGUACCUGAAUGGAGCCUAACCUGCAGUGUGACUUGAGCAUACCACAGGAGGAAGCAACAGGAAAUGAAAGUGGACAAGCAUGACGUGAGGAAUGGGAAGCAAGAAGGAUAGUGAGAUAAUGUUGCAAAUGCCAGACACUGUGUAUUGGAAUUUAUCGUAUAGGUAACAUUGGAGUCAUUGCAGGAUUUUUAUCUUAGAAUAAAAACAGGUUCUCAUUUUAGAGGAAAGAAUCACUGACAGUUUGCCACCAGGUGUCAGGGAGGCCAGUUUGGAAUACGCAGUGAGUAUUCCAAAUGGGAGAAGAUGAAGCUGAAUCUAAGGAGAGAUGGUGGUGUUUCUUGGUUAGAAAUAAUAAAAAUAAGAAGAGCUCAAGAGCUAACAUGUAUAUUGAGUGUCCUGUACCAAGAGCUAAGCUCUUUACACUUAUUAAUUAAUUAACCCAAUGAUCUGCUGAGGUCAUUACCAAUGUUGUCCUAUUUUACAGAGAUGGUUUCUAAUUUGCCUGGGCACACAGCCAGAAAGAAGUAGAACAACGACUCCAACUAAGGCCUGAUUCUCACUCAGACCACCAAAUGCAUGCUGCAUUUAUUACUCUUCAGUGGAGCCAGAUUUUCUUAGUGAGUACAAACAAAGGGGUAGAAAAUGGAUCUAUAAACAAUAUAUAGAAACAUUAGAAUACUACAUGGCAGUAAAAAGAAAUGAACUGUCAAUUUAUGUAACAAUAAGAAUGAACUGCAUAGACAUUAUAUUGAGCAAGAGACACCAGACACAAAAGAGUACAUACUAUAUGGGUCCAUUUAUAUAAAGUUCAAGAACACAAAAAAGGGAAACCUGACUGGAAAAAUGCAUGAGUGAUUAUUUUGGUUUGAUGUAUCUUGUUCUGGUAUUAAAAGAAAGAAGGAAAACACACACACACACACACACACACGACAGAUCAUGAAGCUCUGUAAGAAAGUUCACCACUCUACAAAGGCCCUAGAGGUCUGAACAUGAUCUUCCUGCCUUCAGCCCUACCCUGUUCCUUCAUUCUGUCCUAACCACUCUGACCUCCUUGCUGCUCCUUGAACAUAUCAAGCAAAGUCACUGCUCUGGGCCCUUCUACUCACUGGUUUCUUCUAGAAAGCCUUUCUGCAGACCCUCAUAAUUUGUUCCACUGCUUCCUUAAGUUCUACCUAAAUGUCAUCUUAUCAUGAAAACUUUUCUGCCAACUGUAUUAAAAAUAACAUCACACACACACAUAAUCAUGUACAUACACACACCUGCAAAAUUACUACCACCAUCGGAAUCCCCAAUCCUUUUAACUGCUUUCUUUACUCUGCAGCACUUUACACCAUUCUACUUACUAUAAAAUUUACUUGUUUUCAGUGACAACACUGAGUCCUUAUCUGCUAGGCCACCAAGGAACUUCUACCUUUUUUUAAAACCGAAUAUCUCUCCUAAGUAGAAUGAGUGCUUAUUAGGGUAGGAACUUUGUAUUUAUACUUCUUCAUUCCCAGCAUCUAAAACAGUGCUUUAUACCAUAAGGCCUUGAAAAAAUAUUUACUGAGUAAAUAGUCCUUCAAUAUAAAUACUUUUCUUAAGACCUUAAAUAGGCCAUGAAAUCUGGAAAAAAAAAAAAAAAAAGACCUCAAGGCCAAGGGACAAAAAGAGUAAAUGAAAAUAUGUCACUCCAUAAACGUGGAGUUAAUAAUAGGGCAGCUAAAGUUUUGCCAAAGAUGGUGUAUCAGGUAGUAGUGAGGAUAAAAGUUUAUAUAAGCUAAAUUCAUACACAUUUACAACUGUUCCAGUUAGAGAAAUACAUUACUUCAUCAUAGCCUUGCAAAUGAUUGUAUUCAGUGUUAUUAAAAGACCUGUUAAUUGUGUCCUAAUGAAUUAAGAAGUUGUAAAGCAUGUGGGGCUAUUGAGAAAAGGUGUCUUAUUUUUUAAUUUAUCUAAGCUUUAUUCGUGUUCAUAAAAUAGCAAUAUAAUAAUGCUAAUUUUAGUGAAAUAAAACAUUCUGGAUCUCAAUGGAAAGUACAUUUAGGCCUAUUUGAAGCUUUAUUUUAAAAAUAAUUAUGUAUUAUUUUAAGUCUCUAAAUUACAUUAUGACCAUUAGAGUAUAGCUAAUCCAUCUUUUUUCUUUAAGAGCUUAGCAAGAAAUAUGUCCCUUUCACUUCAGCUCUGUGUUACAAUGUACAAAAUAAUUGACCAAAACAAGAACAGUGAUUAAAAUAAAAGAAAGCCUCUUAGGAAGAUGAUAGAUAUUGAAGAUAAAGACAUGAAACUGGAACUUGAGAAAGUAGGUAAAGGAUAUUAUGAAAACAGUUUAUAGAAAUGCUGUGAAAACAGAGACAAAAGUAAUUCUUUCACAUGCUUCUAGUUUAUUCAACAACCAAAAAUAAAAGCCAGCCCAGAAGUUGUAAGGAUUGAAUUAGAAACACUGUAAAUAUAGUAGGAGGCAAAAAGUAGUCACUGACACACACAGUUUUCAACAGUUUAAAGUUAGAAGGAAGCUUUUACCAAAAUGAAGACAGGCUGGGUGACCUGCCAAGUUAUACACAACAUACAUUCUAGCUGAGGCUGUCCUUGAUUCUAAAGUCAAAGGCAUGUAGGGAAAAGGCCUAGGUCUACUAGCAUCUAAGUCAGAAUUGUUACUGGAAAUUAUUGUGCAUUGUGGGACCUUAAUGCUUGAGAUUUAGUGCCCCCUGUUACCUAUUUCAUCAUGUAAUCUAGAUCAUACUCACCUUUAAGUUUGAAAUUCAUAAAGCCAUAUCAUAUGCCAUAUGUACAUCAUUAAAUAUCCUCAGAUUUCAAAGCAAAAUUAUGAUACCUUAAAUACAAAUACUUAAGUAAAUUUUAAGCAUUAAAAAUUUUAUUAUUAUCUCUCUCUUUCUGUAUGUAUAUGUAUACACAUACAGAGAGAGAGAGCAAGAGGGUGAGGGGGGAAGUAACCAAGGAUAUAAAGAAGCUAUAUAUUUUUUUUAAAAAAUGAGGAGUUCCCUGGUGACCUAGCAGUUAAAGAUUUGGUGUUGUCACUGCUGUGGCAUGGGUUCUAUCUCAGGCCCAGGAACUUCUGCAUGCCAUGGGC